UGCCGCUUGCGAGGGCGUAUGGUGGAUGCCUUGGCAGACAGUACCGAUGAAGGACGUUUGAGGAUGCGAUAAGCCUCGGGGAGCCUCCAACAUGGCUUCGAUCCGAGGAUUUCCGAAUGGGGCAACCCGCCGGCCGUCAUGGGCCGGCACGGAACCUUGUUGUUCCGGGGGUACGCAGGGAAGUGAAACAUCUCAGUACCUGCAGGAAGGGAUACUCCGUGAGUAGUGGCGAGCGAAAGCGGAUCAGACCAAACCAUGGGCGCGUGAUACCCGUCGGGGGUUGCGUCCGUGGUGUUGCGGGAGCGUGUGUCCCGGUUCCGACGGACCGGGCGGGAGUCAUAAAACGGCUUGCCAGGGGAACAGGCUUGAAGGCCUGGCCGCAGAGGGUGCCAGCCCCGUACCUGGAAGCUUGCCGUCUUCCGAUCACGUGUCCCAAGUAGCGCGGGCCUCGUGGAAUCCCGUGUGAAUCGGCCCCGACCGUGGGGUAAGUCUAAGCAUACCUGUCUGACCGAUAGCGUACCAGUACCGUGAGGGAAAGGUGAAAAGCACCCCGGGAGGGGAGUGAAAGAGUUCCUGAAACCGUGCGCCUACAAUCCGUCGGAGCCUCCUCAAGUGGGGUGACGGCGUGCCUAUCGAAAAAUGAGUCUGCGAGUCAGUGGUGCGUGGCGAGGCUAACCCGUCGUGGGGGAGCCGUAGCGAAGGCGAGUCUCAAAAGGCGUUUUGAGUCGCGUGCCCUGGACCCGAAGCGGGAUGAUCUAGCCCUGGGCAGGUUGAAGCGCGGGUAAGACCGCGUGGAGGACCGAACCCACCUGGGUUGAAAACCGGGGGGAUGACCUGGGGCUAGGGGUGAAAGGCCAAUCAAAUUCCGUGAUAGCUGGUUCUCUCCGAAAUGCAUUUAGGUGCAGCGUCGGUUGAUUGCAUCGCGGGGGUAGAGCUACUGGAUGCUUGCGGGCCCGUAUGGGGUACCAACAGCAGCCAAACUCCGAAUACCGUUGAUGUGUAUUCCGGCAGUGAGUCGGCGGGGGAUAAGCUCCGUCGUCGAGAGGGAGACAGCCCAGACCGUCGUCUAAGGUCCCGAAGCGUGUGCUAAGUGGGAAAGGAUGUGGAGUCGCAUAGACAGCCAGGAGGUUGGCUCAGAAGCAGCCAUCCUUGAAAGAGUGCGUAACAGCUCACUGGUCUAGUGGUUCCGCGCCGACAAUGUAGCGGGGCUCAAGCACACCACCGAAGACGCGGCAGCAAUCUUCAUGGUUGCUGGGUAGGAGAGCGUCCUGCGAGGGGCGAAGCGGCCGGGUAACCGUGCCGUGGACUUCGUGGGAGUGAGAAUGCAGACAUGAGUAGCGAGAGACGGGUGAGGAUCCCGUCCGCUGGAUGACCAAGGGUUCCGGGGCCACGUUCGUCGUCCCCGGGUGAGUCGGGUCCUAAGGCGAGGCCGACAGGCGUAGUCGAAUGGAUGAACGGGUGGAUAUUCCCGUACCGGCAGCGAACCGUCCGAACCGAACGGAUGAGUACUAACCUCCGGUCGCGUGCGUCGUUCCCUUCGGGGUUCGGGGCGUGCGAUUGUUGGGAAUGUAGUCCUGGUAGGUUAGCGCACAGGGGUGACACGGAAUGGGAGCCGGCCGCGGAGGUGGUUUUCCGUGGUCAAGCACGCAGCCCGUCCCAUAGGCAAAUCCGUGGGACGUAUAGGGUGAGGUGCGAUGAUGGGCGCCUUUCAGGCGCGAUAUCCGGUGGUCCAGGCCGUCGAGAAAAGCCUCGGCGCGAGGGGCGUUGCCGCCCGUACCCCAAACCGACACUGGUGGUCAGGUAGAGAAUACCAAGGCGAUCGAGCGAAUCCUGGUCAAGGAACUCGGCAAAUCACUCCCGUGCCUUCGGUAUAAGGGAGACCCCUGAUGGUGAUGGAACUUGCUUCCGGAGCUUUCGGGGGUGGCACAGACCAGGGGGUAGCGACUGUUUACCAAAAACACAGGUGCAUGCGAAGGCGAAAGCCGCUGUAUAUGCACUGACGCCUGCCCGGUGCCGGAAGGUUAAGAGGAUCCGUCAAUCCCUUCGGGGACGAAGCGGUGAAUUCAAGCCCCGGUAAACGGCGGUGGUAACUAUAACCAUCCUAAGGUAGCGAAAUUCCUUGUCGGGUAAGUUCCGACCUGCACGAAUGGCGUA
rnacentral:rRNA from 1 species